AGCGAACGCUGGCGGCAGGCUUAACACAUGCAAGUCGAACGAACCCUUCGGGGUUAGUGGCGGACGGGUGAGUAACACGUGGGAACGUGCCUUUAGGUUCGGAACAACACAGGGAAACUUGUGCUAAUACCGGAUAAGCCCUUCGGGGGAAAGAUUUAUCGCCUUUAGAGCGGCCCGCGUCUGAUUAGCUUGUUGGUGAGGUAAAGGCUCACCAAGGCGACGAUCAGUAGCUGGUCUGAGAGGAUGGCCAGCCACAUUGGGACUGAGACACGGCCCAAACUCCUACGGGAGGCAGCAGUGGGGAAUCUUGCGCAAUGGGCGAAAGCCUGACGCAGCCAUGCCGCGUGGAUGAUGAAGGUCUUAGGAUUGUAAAAUCCUUUCAGCGGGGACGAUAAUGACGGUACCCGCAGAAGAAGCCCCGGCUAACUUCGUGCCAGCAGCCGCGGUAAUACGAAGGGGGCUAGCGUUGCUCGGAAUUACUGGGCGUAAAGGGCGCGUAGGCGGAUAGUUUAGUUGGGGGUGAAAGCCCGGGGCUCAACCUCGGAACUGCCUUCAAUACUGGCUAUCUUGAGUACGGGAGAGGUGUGUGGAACUCCGAGUGUAGAGGUGAAAUUCGUAGAUAUUCGGAAGAACACCAGUGGCGAAGGCGACACACUGGCCCGUUACUGACGCUGAGGCGCGAAAGCGUGGGGAGCAAACAGGAUUAGAUACCCUGGUAGUCCACGCCGUAAACGAUGAGUGCUAGUUGUCGGGCGGCAUGCCGUUCGGUGACGCAGCUAACGCAUUAAGCACUCCGCCUGG
rnacentral:rRNA from 1 species